AAAUGGACUUGUUGGACAAUUAGGGAGGUUUAUGGUGGAAGCUGCCGGGGUUUAAUAUUCAAGGGAAGUGAAGAGUGUGCUCUUCUUCAAUAGUUCUUCUUUGUGUUUGCAUGAGCAAUGGAAGGGGUUAGGCUUAGAUUAUCUUUCAAAGACCCUAACAUUCUUAGUGAGUUGCAGAAAUCUGAGGGUUUCAAGAAAAGUUGGCUUCUUCUCAAACCCCAACAACACACAACCAUCUCUGAUCUUUCUUCUUAUCUUAUCAACAAUUUUCAGCUCCAUGAUUCUUGUCCUAAUGGCAUCCUCCUCUCUAUGGAUGGUUUUGUCUUGCCUCCUUUUGAGUCAACGUGUAUUUUGGAUGACAAAGAUAUAGUCAGUGUGAAGAAGAAAGGAGGGCAUUUAGCUGUUGAGGGAAAUAAUGAACCAAAUGUGGUUUUAGCUGUCGAAAGAAAUAACGGUCCCAAUGUAGUUGAAAAUCUCCAAAUUGUUGAGAAGCAGCCUGUAAUGGGUGGACCAUUGUUAUUGGCAAAUGAAGCGUUUGACCAUGGUGCUGGAGGUUACGAGUCUAUUGACAGCGAAGAGCCUGAAGAUGAAUCUGAAAAGGAGGAAGAGGCAGAACCAAAGGAAGAUACUUCACACCAGGAAAAUGCUGCGGCUGGCAAUGCAAUUUCCAAGAAAAGAAAAGCAUCAGAAACGCUUCCUAACUCAAAGAAAAAGGAACACUGUUCUGAUGUUAAGGAGAAGCUAGAUGAGCAGACCGAGAAACAACAAGAUCUUACUAGCAAGAAACGGAAGAUAUCUGAUUCAAAUAACGAAGAUAAGGAGAAUAGUAAAGAAAAUGCUGAGAGUGGUGAGGACAAUCAUAUUACACCCAGCACAAAGAAAAAUGACGAGCUUCGAAAAAACAGUGUGGAGAAUAUAGAGGCGUCCCCCAACUCUGGUGCGACUAAGAAAGAGGGCCCUAGUAGAAGUGCCAGGAGAAAAGCUUCUAAAAGGCGAUGGCUGCGAGAGAUGGCCAAAAUUAAGAACGCAGGUGCUGAAUCAGAAGGACUGCGGAACUGGAAAGAAUUGCAAGCUAAAUCUGGAAAAGGAGAGCCUAGCCGCCAACCAAAGGGGCGGGUAAAUGACGAGGCUAAUGGCCAAUCAAUGGGACAUCGAAAUUGGAAGCAGCAGAAUACUAAAGCUAAUAAAGAAGAGGUAACUGGCCAACCAAAGGGACUACUGUAUUGUAAGCAACUUUUUGGUGAAGAUAAGAAUAGCGAUACAAUUCAAGAAAAGCUUGCAGAAGAAAAAAGCAAAUCGUGUGGACAAUCAUGUCAAAAUAGUGACACAGAAGAUGAAGUUGUUCCAGUUGAAGUAAGGCCUGGGCAUAUUCGAUUUGAACCUCUUGGAAAAGAACAAGGUUCGAAGCAGAGUCAAGUAGAAGUGGAAAGUUUCAGGUGGAACGGUAUGAUGAGCAAGAAAAAGGGACAGAAAUGGGGCCAAGAGAAAGUUUCAUUUUCCCAAAAGGAUGAUUCUCCAGGUUCAAACAAUGAACGUCCUGAUAUGACGAUGAAUCGCCAGAGACAGAAAUGGGGCCAAGAGAAAGACUCAUUUUCCCAAAAGAAUGAUUCUCUAGGUUCAAACAAAGAAAAUACUGAGAUGAUGAAUCAUAAGAGACAGAAAUGGGGCCAAGAGAAUGUUUCAUUUUCCCAUAAGAAUGAUUCUCUAGAUUCAAACAAAGAACAUCCUGAGAUGGUGAAUGGUGAAAAAGAGCCGCAUUUUCAUCAAUCGGUUGACUUCAAUACACUUCCUUUUCUUUCUGCUCAGCCCAAGGAAGGACUUGUGAUUGCAUACCGGUUGCUUGAGUUAUCAUCAACCUGGACCCCUGAAGUUUCUUCCUAUCGGGUUGGGAAAAUAUCACGGUAUAAUUCUGAAGCAAACAAAGUUUUGCUGAUUCCAGUAGCUGAAUUUCCAGUCAUUUCUACUGAGGAUGAUGAGUCUUCAAAGCAACCAGAUAGCUCUAUUUAUAAUGAAGACGGAUCCCUGGAGAUAGAUUUUUCAGCACUUCUUGAAGUUCGUGUGGUGAAUAGUACUCCAGACCAAGCAGGAGUACCUGGUGGGGUUAUUGAAGGCUCUGCUGCCAAUGAGUCGAUUCCAGUGCUUGGAAGCAGUAAAAAUAAAACUGAAACCCCAGCUACUGGAGCUGGAGAAGUAAACAAUGGGAAACAAACAGAAUCUACCCCUUCAGAAAAUGGUGGAGUAAACCUGUGGGAGCAAUUCAAUGAGACUCUGAAGUCCAAGAAGGCGGAAAUAGCUCAGGAAAGUAGUUGGGGUAAGACCAAGAAGGCAGAAUUAUCUCAGGAAAGCAAUUGGGAUAAGACAAAUUCUGGGAAGAGUCCAUGGUCAUAUCGACCCAUGAGAGGCACUGCGCUAGGCCCUACAAUGGCUUUUCUAAGAUCCCAAAAGAAAAUAUGAGAUGAAUUUGAAUUUGCAUAUUUUGUUCAUAUUAUCAAAUGUUAAUAUGCUUCAUUCUCUAGUUUUGCAAAACUCUCACUAAUGAAGAGAAUGAACUAUUUUUUAACUUCUCCAUUAUGAGUGUAUCCAGGGAAGUCUUGCAGUGUAACAAAGGAGUUCUUGUGAUGUAUCACUUUCUGCCCAAACUGUUUCUAAACUUUUGGUUAAGUAUUGGUGUAAAGGAAUUGAAGGAUAUGAAAAUCUACUUAUCAGUAAAAUUCUCGGGUCCUGUCUUUUGAAAUGCA